UACCCGUUUAAAAGUUUAAAAAUAUUAUUGUUAGGAUGAAAAGGAUGGUUUAGAAGGAGACGAACCAAGUGAAGAGGAUACAUUAAACGAUACAACAUCUGCUCUUGGCACAGGAUUUUGGGUUCUUUUGAGCCUAGGAGUAGUUCUAGCGGUUGGAAUUGCUAUAGUUAUAUAUAUUUAUAAAAGGAUCCAGAAGAAGAACCCGAAGGUGACUCGACCAAAUGAAUAUUCAGCUGUAAGCAGGGAUGAAGAUCAAGUACAGAAGGAAAACAACCAAGUAUAGGAAUAAUCAACAUUAUCAAUGACGAUUUGAAACUAAAGAAUAUCCCCUUUUCCUAAAUAUAACAAUAGUAAAAACAAAUUCGUCAAUAUUGAGAAUAGUUUAACCCUAUCUCUGCUGGGGUACUUGAAAACCAGGAUACGCUGGGGGGGGGGGUCAAUUUGACCCCCUCUCUA
rnacentral:lncRNA from 1 species